rnacentral:rRNA from 1 species
GACGAACGCUGGCGGCGUGCUUAACACAUGCAAGUCGAACGAUGAAGCCGGAGCUUGCUCCGGUGGAUUAGUGGCGAACGGGUGAGUAACACGUGAGCAAUCUGCCCUUGACUCUGGGAUAACUGCGGGAAACUGUAGCUAAUACCGGAUACGACACCUUGGGGCAUCCCAGGGUGUGGAAAGAAUUUCGGUCAAGGAUGGGCUCGCGGCCUAUCAGCUAGUUGGUGAGGUAAUGGCUCACCAAGGCGACGACGGGUAGCCGGCCUGAGAGGGUGACCGGCCACACUGGAACGGAGACACGGUCCAGACUCCUACGGGAGGCAGCAGUGGGGAAUAUUGCACAAUGGGCGAAAGCCUGAUGCAGCAACGCCGCGUGAGGGAUGAAGGCCUUCGGGUUGUAAACCUCUUUUAGCAGGGAAGAAGCGAAAGUGACGGUACCUGCAGAAAAAGCACCGGCUAACUACGUGCCAGCAGCCGCCGUAA